CUUCGUUUAUUGGGAAAGAUUCAAUAUACUUUUAAUGUCGAAUCGGGAUUCACUAAGACAGAAAUAAAGCAUUUGGUCGUACUCUUCUUUGGUGUUAAGGUGGUAGCUGUGAAUCUCAGUUCGGUAGAGCAACUCGUUUACAUGUGUGCCAAUGCUUUUCAUAUUUGUAUUUCUUUAUUGUAUUAUACCUUAAUAUAUAUAUUCUAG
rnacentral:rRNA from 1 species